rnacentral:ncRNA from 1 species
GUACCAAACUGUGUGCUAACCUUGAUCCGACAAAGGGUGGUGGUCAAUUAAGACAGUAUGAUUGUGGUCAUGGAAGUCGAAAUCUGUUAAAGAUAGUAUGAUUGCCCCGAUGGCAAGUGACAAGCCCUGAUGAGUAAGAGGGCACGAC